ensembl:miRNA
GAGCUAAGACCCUAGGUUCUUCUGUGUCUCAAGCGAAGACCACAGGUUCCUUGGAGCACGUACACUUGUUCAGGGAAGAGUCGGUUAAAUGGCAA